CACAGACUUUUUGCUUAUUCACUUUCACAAUCUUAUUGCCUGCUACAAGUAUAUGAGUUUUGCUUAUGAUCUCUUCUCGGCAAUUUUUCCUUAAAUACCCGCUGCCAUGUUGUAUUUUUGCGGUUUUUCCAUUUUCUGGAAAAUCCUUGUUGCCAAUUUUCCUGUUGCCGAACUCCAAAAUAAAACAUACAAUAAUUCCCCUCUAACCGUUUUAUCUCACACGUAAUUCUUCGCGCCAUUAUUCUAUUAUUUGCAUUUCAUUUUUCUCGUUAUAUUUUCAUCAAUGACAAUACAACCCUGUAAUCUACAAUUUUUGCCGCGUUGCUACACUGUAAUACAGGCGUUUCUACACCUAACAGCUGACACACGACCAAACACAUAAAACAAAGAACAUUAAGAAGACCUAAGAAAUAACACAUAAAAAAUAAAAAUCAUUUAGUUUAAUUUUAAUCACAUAUUCAAUUUUUUCUGCUACAAAAAACACUUUUUUAACUCAUCCAGACAUUGAGAAUAAAUAUCAUUAUUUCAACAUUAAUGGAAACCCACCCCUAAAACAAUAAACAUAAACAAAACAAACCAGUGGAACCAAAUUAAAACCAAUUAUCAAACCAAACGGAUGGACACAAGAAACAGGAGCUCGAGAACAAACAAAAAGGAAACAAAUCUGAAGGAAUUACAAUAAUAACAAAUUCAUCAGACUUUUCGGGACAACAAAUAAAGUGUUUAUUUUCCUUUACAAACAAAUAAAACUAAAACAUAUUGUACAUAUAGAAACAA